AGGGAAUCUUCCACAAUGGACGGAAGUCUGAUGGAGCAACGCCGGGUGAGUGAUGAAGUUUUUCGGAUCGUAAAACUCUGUUGUAAGGGAAGAACCAGUACGUCAGGCAAUGGCUGUACCUUGACGGUACCUUAUUAGAAAGCCACGGCUAACUACGUGCCAGCAGCCGCGGUAAUACGUAGGUGGCAAGCGUUGUCCGGAAUUAUUGGGCGUAAAGCGCGCGCAGGUGGUUUCUUAAGUCUGAUGUGAAAGCCCACGGCUCAACCGUGGGGGGUCAUUGGAAACUGGCAGACUUGAGUGCAGAAGAGGCUAGUGGAAUUCCAAGUGUAGCGGUGAAAUGCGUAGAGAUUUGGAGGAACACCAGUGGCGAAGGCGACUAUCUGGUCUGUAACUGACACUGAGGCGCGAAAGCGUGGGGAGCAAACA
rnacentral:rRNA from 1 species